rnacentral:misc_RNA from 1 species
GUAAAUAAUUAGGUUGGUUUUCAGAAGUGUACUGUACUGCAUGAGGGUUUAGGGGGUCCCUGGCGGCAGCGGACUGCCGAGGGAACAACAAAAGGUGCGCAUAGUCAAGGUAAUAGGCACGAGCGGCACGCCGACAAGCAGCGGCCUAGGCCAGGUAAUGAUCCUUCCGCAGGUUCACCUACGGAAA